rnacentral:tRNA from 1 species
GGUCGACUGGUGUAGUGGUUAUCACGUCUGUCUUACAUUUGCACCUUGACGGUGUAUUGUCAGCACACAGAAGGUCGCAGGUUCGAUCCCUGCGUCGAUCA